rnacentral:rRNA from 1 species
CCUACGGGAGGCAGCAGUGAGGAAUAUUGGUCAAUGGACGAGAGUCUGAACCAGCCAAGUAGCGUGAAGGAUGACUGCCCUAUGGGUUGUAAACUUCUUUUAUAUGGGAAUAAAAUGUUCCACGUGUGGGAUUUUGUAUGUACCAUAUGAAUAAGGAUCGGCUAAAUCUGUGCCAGCAGCCGCGGUAAUACGGAGGAUCCGAGCGUUAUCCGGAUUUAUUGGGGUUAAAGGGAGCGUAGGUGGAUUGUUAAGUCAGUUGUGAAAGUUUGCGGCUCAACCGUAAAAUUGCAGUUGAAACUGGCAGUCUUGAGUACAGUAGAGGUGGGCGGAAUUCGUGGUGUAGCGGUGAAAUGCUUAGAUAUCACGAAGAACUCCGAUGGCGAAGGCAGCUCACUGGACUGCAACUGACACUGAGGCUCGAAAGUGUGGGGAUCAAACAGGAUUAGAUACCCGGGUAGUC